GCCGAAGGUGGGGCAGAUGACUGGGGUGAAGUCGUAACAAGGUAGCCGUACCGGAAGGUGCGGCUGGAUCACCUCCUAA
rnacentral:rRNA from 1 species